rnacentral:lncRNA from 11 species
UCUAAACAAUGUAAUGAGCUAUACAAAACACAAUAAUGGUUCAAAACACAAGUAGUACACAAUAUGUAUAUUAGAGCAUCAUAUACAUAUUACAUUCACAGAAUCAAUGCUCAGUCCUAUGGUAUAUAACCCAAAAGUAUCAAACUCAGUAUUAUAAAUCAAACAAGAUGAUAUAAGUCUCUGCAGUCCUAAAAGGAUUUGAUUGGCUUAAAGGCAAACCAAUUCAGAGUCUCUGCAGUUCUGGAAGGAUUCCUCAGGACUCCACAGGUUUUGAAUCAAUAGUAAAGCCAAGGAGACCGAAUCAAUGCUGAUGUAGAUCCUGAGUAGCUGGUUAUUGGCUGGAAUCUCUCCCAGUGCUUCCAAGGCUGCAGCCUCCGUAACCGCAAGAAAGAGUUUGCCGACCUGCAACGGCACCGUCUUUGCCGGGAGAACCCGGGCCUGUGCCACCUCCGCCACAGCCUCACGGGCAAAGGAAGAGCGUCGGAGGGUCUCCGCCGGAAGCAAGACGGCAGCAGGCCUUCUGUGGCCGUGAGCAGCUCGGCCCGGAUCCUGCCCCAGUGCCAGCUCAGCCACGUCCAGCGCUGCCGGGCCUGCCAAGCCUUCAACCGGGACCAGAACGAGAACGGCUGGGCUCCUUUGCAAGAAGAGGGCCCCGUCGGUGCAAGUGAGGCUCACCGAAACGUGAGGACAUCCCUUUCUUCUGAACGCCUUGGCAAAGUCCAGCACUGGCUGGAGCAGACCUGGGAAGAACGGCCACCAGAGCCGGACUGUCGGAGAUUGCCAAAACAGAGGACCCAACGCCCGGAAUUAUGCCCUGCUUAUGGGGGUCAGAAGGAAAGGGAGACUUGGAGCAGAGAUGCUGGAGAUGACCGGAGGGUGGACUCUACUGUGGACACCAGGCACCGGUGGAGGAGCCAUCCAGGAGAGAACUGUCAGGCACCUGCGCGGAUGGUGCCCCGUGGAGACGCCAGCCCUUCUCCCGCCACUUGCACCUGCCUCUUCUGCGAGCAGCAGAGACCUCGCGCCACGUUGGUCUCCGGCAAGAACCAGCGCGACCCUUCCGUGGCAGAAGUGGCCGUCCUCUUACAGGCGGAGAAGCGCGUGCCCCGGAUCGUGGAGGCCUUUGAGCGGAGGACCCGGUGGGAGGCCAAGAUGGCCCAGGAGGAGCAGGCCUUCAUGCCCACCGGACGCAGGGAGAUGGACAAGCCCACGCGAGGCCACCGCCGGUCCAGCAGCGCCGUGGCCCACAGAGCUCACGGCAGGGAGGAGGAAGAAAGGGGGCAUCAUCGGGAGUCCCGGGCCCGGGUCCCCAGGGGAAAAGCAGCCACACAGCCAAGGAGGUGCCCCAGUUUCAUCGACAGGCUGCGAGGGAUCCACUAGAUCCCUGGGCUUACAAGGCUGAGAGCAAAGGCAUGGAAGAGAAGCAGUGGUCGGCACAGCCUGGCACCCCUGCCCUCCACAAACAUGUAUGGACCCAAAGAGUGUCAGGACCCAUCACUGGUGGAGGAGGUGGUCGGUGAAGAAGGGAUCUCAGCAGCAGUGAUUGGCAUUGCUUGGCAUCGCUACCCUCAAGUAGGAAGAUUGUCAUCAACCUGACCAGCGAUGGGGACAUCCUGGCACCCUUGUCCUCCACAAGCAUAGAUAACAACCCAAAGAAUGUCAGAACCCACCUUUGGUGCAGAAGCUGGUUGAUGGAGAUGUGAUACACAGCAGGCAUUUCAGCAGCAGCAACUCCAGGUUCUCGGGUGGAGCAGUGAUUGGCAGAGACACAUAAGUAUGGAGACACAAUCCCAGAAAUUGUCAAGAAAGUGGUCAAUGGAGAUAGCUGCACCAAGCCCUGGGUUUCAGCUAGCCUGGCUUGGCAUUGCUGCCCUCCACAUGGAUGGAGAUACAUCUCCAGAGAAUGACAGGAACCCACCUUUGAUGCAGAAAGUGGUCAAUGGAGAUGAGAUACGGAGAAGGCACUGCAAGUUCUCAGUUGGACCACUGAUUGGCCUGGUCUCACCUCUCUGCCCUCCAAAAGUAUGGAAAUACCUCCCCAAAAAGGUAUCAGGAACUGACCUUUGAUGCAAAAGGUGUGUGAUGGAGAUGUGGUACGGUAAAGACCUUGCAGCAGAAGAUCCAGGUUCUCAGCGAGAUCAGGGAUUGGCACAGCCUGGCACUCCUGCCUGCUACAAAAACGGAGGUAGCACCCAAAGAGUGUCAUCAGCUGGACUUGCGAUUGGCCCAGCCUGGCAUCCCUGCCCUUCACAAAAAUGGAGCUACAACCCAAAGAGUGUCAUCGGCUGGACCAGUGGCUGGCACAGCCUGGCAAUCCUGCCCACAGUUAUGGAGAUGCAAUCCCAAGAGUGUGAAGAACUCAUCUUUGGUGCAAAAGAUGUGACAUGGAGAAGGCAUGGCGGCAGUAGCAGGCUCCAGGUCUCAGCUGGGCCAGUGAGUGGCACCACCUGGUUCCCUUGCCCUCCAUAAGUAUGCAGAUACAACACAAAGGAUGCCUAGAACCCAACUUUGGUGCAGAAGGUGGUCAAUAGAGAUGUGAUAUGGGGGUGGCAUUGCAAGAGUAGGCUCCAGGUUCUCCGCUGGACCAGUUAUUGGCACGUCCUGGCAUCCCUGCUCUCCAUAAAUAAGGAGAUGAAAACCGAAGAGUGCCAGGAACCCACCUUUGGUGAAGAAGAAGGUGGUCAGAAGAGAUGUGAUAUAAAGAAGGCAUUGCAGCAGAUUUCUCCAUGGGGCAGGAGGUAGACGGCCAAUGGGGCCAGGAUGGAAGAAGCCAUUGGGCUGGGUCUUUGUACUCAGUGGAGGACACCAGUUGGGUAGUUUUUCUCACAAGGGACACCGACCAGUCUAUAGGAAUAAACGGUGGCUGUGAAUCCAGAUGUGGCCUCAGAAGUCUUCUGUUACUGCCCCACAACUGUCACAUCCCCACAGCAUCCCCCACAUCAGGGAGGGCUCAUUCUAUCUCAUCCUGACACAGGAGAGCGGUAAUCCAAAUAAAGGAAAUACAGUAGGAAAGUUUGGGAAGAACGAGGCCACUAGGCUUCUUUUUUUCCACUUCACCUCUUUUGCUCCUUAUGUGUUGUAGGUUUCUAAUUGCAUUUUUUUAAAAUGUUGUGGGCUGCUUUAUAUCUCAGUCAAGAGACAAUAGUGGUGUAACAUCGUCAUCAUACUGUAUUUUGAUUUUGUUUUUCCCACUCUGCUGCUAUUUAAUUGCUUUUUAACUUUUAGUGCACCUUUUAAACUUGACUAGGGUGGAGUGUUAGCCACCUUGAGUUCCCACGGGAAGAAAGAGGGGAUAUAAAUACAGAUCAUCAUCAUCAUCAUUGGAGGAGAAGAAUGGCAGCAAUUUUGCCACUUUUUGCCCUUUGCCCAACUCAUCCUCCAUGCCAAUCUAUGCCAUGGAUCUAUGCAUAGAUUUGUAUACUGUUCAAUGUAUUUAUGCUGUUGUUUUUGUAAAUUGUGCUGGUCGG